UACAGAUAAAAUGUAGUUUAUUUUAUCAUUAACGUUAAAUAAAAUUGUUAUGUAUCACAGUUCAGUACUUUCGUUAAUUUUAUCUAAUAUGUUAUUUUA